rnacentral:rRNA from 1 species
CAGCAGCCGCGGUAAUACAGAGGGUGCGAGCGUUAAUCGGAUUUACUGGGCGUAAAGCGUGCGUAGGCGGCUUCUUAAGUCGGAUGUGAAAUCCCUGAGCUUAACUUAGGAAUUGCAUUCGAUACUGGGAAGCUAGAGUAUGGGAGAGGAUGGUAGAAUUCCAGGUGUAGCGGUGAAAUGCGUAGAGAUCUUGAGGAAUACCGAUGGCGAAGGCAGCCAUCUGGCCUAAUACUGACGCUGAGGUACGAAAGCAUGGGGAGCAAACAGGAUUAGAUACCCGUGUAGUCCCUGUCUCUUAUAC